AGUGAACGCUGGCGGUAGGCCUAACACAUGCCAGUCGAACGGCAGCACAGUAAGAGCUUGCUCUUACGGGUGGCGAGUGGCGGACGGGUGAGGAAUACAUCGGAAUCUACUUUUUCGUGGGGGAUAACGUAGGGAAACUUACGCUAAUACCGCAUACGACCUACGGGUGAAAGCAGGGGAUCUUCGGACCUUGCGCGAUUGAAUGAGCCGAUGUCGGAUUAGCUAGUUGGCGGGGUAAAGGCCCACCAAGGCGACGAUCCGUAGCUGGUCUGAGAGGAUGAUCAGCCACACUGGAACUGAGACACGGUCCAGACUCCUACGGGAGGCAGCAGUGGGGAAUAUUGGACAAUGGGCGCAAGCCUGAUCCAGCUAUACCGCGUGGGUGAAGAAGGCCUUCGGGUUGUAAAGCCCUUCUGUUGGGAAAGAAAAGCAGCAGGUUAAUACCCCGCUGUUCUGACGGUACCCAAAGAAUAAGCACCGGCUAACUUCGUG
rnacentral:rRNA from 1 species